UGGCCACAUCAUGUUGAAACACUGGUUCCCAUAUAAUCAUGAAAGUUAAGCAACAUUAAGCCUAGUCAGUACUUAGAUAGGCGACUGUUGGGGAAUUCCAGGUGCUGUAAG